AGUGAACGCUGGCGGUAGGCCUAACACAUGCAAGUCGAACGGCAGCACAGGAGAGCUUGCUCUCUGGGUGGCGAGUGGCGGACGGGUGAGGAAUACAUCGGAAUCUGCCCAGUCGUGGGGGAUAACGUAGGGAAACUUACGCUAAUACCGCAUACGACCUUCGGGUGAAAGAGGGGGAUCGCAAGACCUCUCGCGAUUGGAUGAGCCGAUGUCGGAUUAGCUAGUUGGCGGGGUACUGGCCCACCAAGGCGACGAUCCGUAGCUGGUCUGAGAGGAUGAUCAGCCACACUGGAACUGAGACACGGUCCAGACUCCUACGGGAGGCAGCAGUGGGGAAUAUUGGACAAUGGGCGCAAGCCUGAUCCAGCCAUACCGCGUGGGUGAAGAAGGCCUUCGGGUUGUAAAGCCCUUUUGUUGGGAAAGAAAUCUUUCAGGCUAAUACCCUGGGAGGAUGACGGUACCCAAAGAAUAAGCACCGGCUAACUUCGUG
rnacentral:rRNA from 1 species